AAGGACACCGACCCGUCCACCUACCGGAUCCACGCCGGGGACGUGUAUCUGUACAGGGGCCGGGGUCUGCUGAACGUCAGCCGGAUCAUCGUCCACCCCAACUACUCUGUCUUCUUCCUGGGGGCAGACAUCGCCCUGCUGAAGCUGGCCACCAGUGUGAGGAAAACACACACUCUCGCGCCGGUGGCUCUGCCGUCACAGUCUCUGGAGUUCACUGACAGUGACAACUGCUAGACCACAGGCUGGGGCAGGGUCAGCUUGUUCGAUACGCUGCCGCCUCCUUACCGCCUGCAGCAGGUGAAGGUCCCCACACUGAGCAACGCAGACUGUGAGCAGCAGAUCCACGAUGCUUUUCCCGGUGCUGGAGACAGAAAGUUCAUCCAGGACGACAUGAUCUGUGCCGGCCACACGGGCCGCCGCAUCUGGAAGGGUGACUCAGGCGGCCCCCUGGUCUGCAAGAAGAAAGGUACCUGGCUCCAGGCGGGAGUGGUGAGCUGGGGAUUUAACAGUCAUCAGCCCAGCAUUGGCGUCUACACACGAGUCCAGACCUACGUGCCCUGGAUCCUGCAGCAAAUGCGCCUCUAAGCCCCGGGCCCCUCCCAGCUCCCUAAAAUCCAGCUCAUUCCUCGUCUUGGCCACUCCACUCCCUGCUUCUUCCAGCACCCACCUUCUCUGCUCCUCCAUCCCACAUGGUCCUCACUUCCCUCCGCCUUUUCAGACCUGCACCUUCCUCCCUCACACUGGGAGGAGGAGGCAUGGAAGGUGCUUUGAA